rnacentral:lncRNA from 1 species
UUUAUUUAUUUACUUAUUUAUUUCAGCUGGGACUUCAAUGUACCUUUCGACCAGGCAAAAUAGUGAUCAUCUGAUUUUUGGGGAAGCUUCUCAAAAUAAUUUUAUGGACGUCUACAUAGGACAGUUAAGGACUGAAUGUCUUUCCUAUAGAGAUUAUGAUGAUAUUAAAAUCAAAAAGUGCCAAACCCCAUCAUUUUGAAUAUACACCUAGGGUCACACCGUUCAUGAGGCAAACAAGACUAAAAAUUGGUAAUUGAUUACAACAGGUAAGCUCCUCUGACAGAAGGCGUUUGGAGUCUUCAAAAGGUGCAGCUGAAAGAUCAAAUGUGAAAUUAAAGUUUAAUGAAGGUGAUGGUUGUUCCUCUACCCAUUUCCCCACCCCCCCCCGGGGGAUCAGAAGAUCAUUUAAUAAGGCUGUUUUUAUACACAAAUGCAACUUGUUUAUUUUGACCUCAGUUCUUCGAAAUUGUCGACGCCACACUGAAAUAUGCUGUGUGUUCCAACAAGGACCCAGCAGUCGUAAUGACAGACCAGCCCAUCUGUGCUGCGAGAAUGUAUAAUUUCAGUCUAUAGUGGAAUUUAUAUAGAAGCGAGAUCAUGUGAAAACUGAGAUGCGUGGUACUUUCUUCGAAAAAAAUAUCGCUACAUGAUAUUUGGUCUCAUCUAACUAUCCCAACUGCAUAAGAUGUAUGCUGGAAAAUGUAUUAUCCAGAUACAGUAAGACGAUUAGAGGAACAGAACCUCAGAGGAAGAUACUAAUUUAGAGGGAAAAUGCUCAUUUAUGGAGAUUAAUUGAUUUUAUGCUACCUGCCCCUACCCUGUCCAAAAAGACGGCGAGUUAACUCUCAGGAAAUGGGACUAUCGCUCCAGGAUUUAGAAUUAAAGGCCGAUUCACCAACGUUAAUUAUAACAAAAAAUAAAAUUAAAAAAAAAAGGAGGAGUGGGCAGCUCUGAGAAGUCUAAAUUCUUUCCAAAUGAUUACCCCCCUCCCCGCCCCCUCUACCAGCUUCUCUAGUCUCUCGACUCCUCUGCCUUUAGAAUUUAUGACACUCUGUUUCUUGCUAUUACUUUUAUUUUGCCACCAGUGUUUUAUUUGGUGCUUGCUAAAUAUUUGGGUGGAGUGAUCUUCCAGCUUGCAGCAGCAGAAUGUGGCUGUCAUAGUCAUGAAAAUGUUUUAAUUAUCUCUGCUACAGAGAUGCCUGUCUCUGCAGCCCCAAGUCCUCCAGUACCGACUGCUGUCUAAUCUAAGAACAAAAGCGGCCGCAGAUAUUCCUCGUGCGCUGAGCUCACUUUCAACAUUUGCUGGUGUCUGCUCCGGCCAGCCGGCGGCUCAGGCCGGCACACACAGGACCCGAACGCCUCUGAUGCCAGAAAAUAACCAAAAAACCUAUUUACGUGGGAAUUUUCCUCUGAGUUGCACCCCAGCACUUCCUGGGCCUGAUCUCCCAUGUUCUGUAAAUCAAGACCCUGGCUACCCUCGAACGUGGGGAACCCAGGCUGUGUCUGCGGGAGCUUUGUCAGCCUGCCAGAGGAGCGAGGUGAGCUUGGAGCUGCACUCUGCAAAGACCACGUCUUAAAUGAAAAGCUUCAGGGACCAACAGAGAAACGCGGGCAGCCAUGGACCCCAGUUCCUGGACAGCAGCGGCAGCGUGGCCUGGGGACUGACUCCCUGCCCGACGGUCCACCGUUCAGCCCUGGCCAGUCAGGAUGCCUGGGGCCACAGCUCUGCAGGUGGGAAACCAGGACAGGAUCAGGGCACAGGCAGGCCCUGGGACCACUCAGGGCCCCCGAGGGCUGGUCUGGUGGACGUGCCCCCCGUGAGCCGUCUGUGGGCAGGGCAGUUAUAAACCAGGCAGGGCAAGGCUAGCUGGAAGCCCCGGGCUUAAAUAAGUGCUUAAAAAAACAAAGCCCCAAACAACCGAAGAGAUUUCCCCCACACUGAGCUGAGCACCGAAAAGAGCUUCUUCUUCCCCCCCCGGCCCCCCCAAAAAUAAAAUAAAAGGGAGAAAGAACUGGAUUCCUAAACUUGUGGACAUGGCAGCAUUCAAGAUGCCGGAUGAAAUGAAAGGGCCUCUGUUUCUCAAAGCAGCACCCACCCUCCCGUGUGCCAGCCUGGCCCUGCCUGCCGAGGAGUUUGCUGGAAGGAGCAUGGAUGGUUCUGGUGUUUUUCCCUGUGCCAC